rnacentral:rRNA from 1 species
UACGAAGGGGGGCUAGCGUUGCUCGGAUUGACUGGGCGUAAAGGGCGCGUAGGCGGAUAGUACAGUCAGGCGUGAAAUUCCUGGGCUCAACCUGGGGGCUGCGUUUGAUACGUAUUGUCUGGAGUUCGGAAGAGGGUCGUGGAAUUCCCAGUGUAGAGGUGAAAUUCGUAGAUAUUGGGAAGAACACCGGUGGCGAAGGCGGCGACCUGGUCCGAUACUGACGCUGAGGCGCGAAAGCGUGGGGAGCAAACAGG